rnacentral:rRNA from 1 species
GUAGGGAAUAUUGGGCAAUGGAUGCAAGUCUGACCCAGCCAUCCCGCGUGCCGGAAGAAGGCCCUCAGGGUUGUAAACGGCUUUUGACGGUGAAGAAUCGACAGGAUGCGUCCUGUUUUGACGGUAGCCGUUGAAUAAGCACCGGCUAACUCCGUGCCAGCAGCCGCGGUAAUACGGAGGGUGCGAGCGUUGUCCGGAUUUAUUGGGUUUAAAGGGUGCGUCGGCUGGAAGGUCAGUCAGCGGUGAAAAGCUGUCGCUUAACGAUAGUCUUGCCGAAGAUACUUCCUUUCUUGGAUGAGGAGGAGGCCACUGGAACGGAUGGUGUAGCGGUGAAAUGCAUAGAUAUCAUCCAGAACACCGAUUGCGAAGGCAGGUGGCUGUACCUUAAUCGACGCUGAUGCACGAAAGCAUGGCGAGCAAACAGGAUUAGAUACCCCUGUAGUCC